rnacentral:rRNA from 1 species
AUCGAACGCUGGCGGCAGGCCUAACACAUGCAAGUCGAACGAGUGGCGGACGGGUGAGUAAUGUCUGGGAAACUGCCUGUUGGAGGGGGAUAACCACUGGAAACGGUACCUAAUACUGCAUACCAUCACAUGUGCCCAGAUGGGAUUUGUUGGGUGGUGGGGUAACGGCUCACCAAGGCGACGAUCCCUAGCUGGUCUGAGAGGCAGACCAGCCACACUGGAACGGGGACACGGUCCAAGCUCCUACGGGAGGCAGCAUUGGGGAAUAUUGCGCAGUGGGCGCAAGCCUGAUGCAGCCAUGCCGCGUGUAUGAAGAAGGCCUUCGGGUUGUAAUGUCCUUUCGUCGGGGAGGCGUUACCCGCAGAAGAAGCACCGGCUAACUCCGUGCCAGCCGCCGCGGUAAUAC